AGUGAACGCUGGCGGUAGGCCUAACACAUGCAAGUCGAACGGCAGCACAGUAAGAGCUCGCUCUUACGGGUGGCGAGUGGCGGACGGGUGAGGAAUACAUCGGAAUCUACUUUUUCUUGCGGGAUAACGCAGGGAAACUUACGCCAAUACCGCAUACGACCUACGGGUGAAAGCAUGGGAUCUUCGGACCUUGCGUGAUCCAAUGAGCCGAUGUCGGAUUAGCUAGUUGGCGGGGUAAAGGCCCACCAAGGCGACGAUCCGUAGCUGGUCUGAGAGGAUGAUCAGCCACACUGGAACUGAGACACGGUCCAGACUCCUACGGGAGGCAGCAGUGGGGAAUAUUGGACAAUGGGCGCAAGCCUGAUCCAGCCAUACCGCGUGGGUGAAGAAGGUCUUCGGGUUGUAAAGCCCUUUUGUUGGGAAAGAAAAGCAGCAGGUUAAUACCCCGCUGUUCUGACGGUACCCAAAGAAUAAGCACCGGCUAACUUCGUG
rnacentral:rRNA from 1 species